CGGGCCUGUAGCUCAGUUGGUUAGAGCAGUGGACUCAUAAUCCAUUUGUCCUAUCAACCAGCUUUGCCCUUCCA
rnacentral:tRNA from 1 species